GCCUAGGUGGCGAAAUAGGCAAACGCGUAGCACUCAAAAUGCUAUGACCUUUGGUCUUGUGGGUUCGAGUCCCACCCUAGGCA
rnacentral:tRNA from 1 species